GCAAAAAGUAAACAUAACAUAACAUCCUUUACCUGGUCUUAUUGUGCUUUAUUUAGCGAACAACUAAAUUUAUGCAAUUUAAUUCCCUACUUUCAUUUGUUUGGCAGGGAGCUCAGAGAACAAUUUUGUAUUAAAUUUCCAUUUACUAUAAUUUAAUACAGGGACAAUCAGCAACAAAAACAAGAAAUAUUCUACACUGGGUGCUGCAAGGCAGACAGAGACAAAUGUCUUAGUUCAGACUUUAUGCUUUUUUAAUUUUUAUUUUUAUUUGUAUAUGUUUGCCAUACAUAACGAUUGAAUUCAUUCUGGAAAUUUAACACAACUUAAUUCUCUUUAAUUUCAUCUAUUCCCCUCACUUCAGUUCACACAUUAGACAAGGUUCCAGUCAAGCAUUCUUACUACAGCAAGAUGAAGAGCCAACACAAAUGAAGAAGGUCAGGUAGAACAAUUCUACUGACAGCUCCUAAAAACACAAGAUCUGGAAAACAUUCACAUCUGGAACUCCAGAGAAUGUAUAAAGAAGAUCUACUUUUGGCUUGGUUUUCAUUCACAUUUGGGGAGGAAGACAAAGUAUUUCAGGAAAAAUGAAAGCUGCAUCUGUGAGCCUGAAAGACCCUUUCAGCAAGUGCCUGGUUGUUCCACACACUGUAGUGAGAUUCAGCCAAUUCAAUAAAGUGCUCCUGAGUAAUAGCUUCCUACCUGGAUUCCCA
rnacentral:lncRNA from 1 species